UACGAAGGGUGCAAACGUUGCUCGGAAUCAUUGGGCGUAAAGCGCACGUAGGCGGCCCGAUAAGUCGGAUGUGAAAUCCCUCGGCUCAACCGAGGACGUGCAUUCGAAACUGUCGGGCUCGAGUAUGGAAGAGGGUCGCGGAAUUCCCGGUGUAGAGGUGAAAUUCGUAGAUAUCUGGAGGAACACCGGUGGCGAAAGCGCUCAUCUGGCCCAAUACUGACGCUGAGGCGCGAAAGCUAGGGGAGCAAACGGG
rnacentral:rRNA from 1 species